rnacentral:rRNA from 1 species
AUGAAUUAUUUUAUUCAAGUUCUUAACUAUGAAUCAAAGAUGUCAUCUGAAGUAAAGCCUUAUCUCAAGAAAUACUGUUUCAGUUUGUACUUUACUUCAUUUGAUCCUAUUAGUUGCAUACAAGAAUUUGACAUGAUUAAUUCAGAAGAAAGCAUCUGGAAACAAGACUUGUUAUACUUCCCUACCAUAAAAUCAAAUCACUGGGUUCUACUUUCCAUCAACUCUCCGUUUGAGAAAUCUCACUUUUUUGAUCCAUGUGGUACUAUUCUGGAUACUACCCAAGAAGAACUUGUCUAUAACUUGCUCUCCAACUACAACAUGCUUUGCAAGCUGAGUAAAAAGCCAUUCAAGAACAUAUUCUCUUUCAAGCUUCAACCAGUAGGACCUUACCCAACAAACCGUCUCUUGCAUGACUCAGGCCACUAUCUGCCUUUAUACAUGGAAAAUUUUGAAGGCAAAGCUAUGAAGAGUUUCAAUGAGGGCAACAUUCCGAAGUACAGAAUGAUUUAUGCAUUCAAGUUCUUCAAAAGCACUUUGAACAAGCUGAAAGAAGGAGAUCUUCCAAUACCAAAUUGA